rnacentral:ribozyme from 1 species
UACAUACGUCACUUCAAAAAAAGAGAAAAAACACACAUUCGAAAGUGGUCGCACUAAAAAUCUCUAUUUGCCAUUUUUGGUGGUUGUUCUUGCUACCCCUCUGUUUUCUCUCGUCUUACUCCUUCUCCUUCCUCCU